GACGAACGCUGGCGGCGUGCUUAACACAUGCAAGUCGAACGAAGAGCGAUGGAAGCUUGCUUCUAUCAAUCUUAGUGGCGAACGGGUGAGUAACGCGUAAUCAACCUGCCCUUCAGAGGGGGACAACAGUUGGAAACGACUGCUAAUACCGCAUACGAUCUAAUCUCGGCAUCGAGGAUAGAUGAAAGGUGGCCUCUUCAUGUAAGCUAUCACUGAAGUAUGGGAUUGCGUCUGCUUAGGUAGUUGGAGGGGUAACGGCCAACCAAGGCGACGAUCAGUAGCCGGUCUGAGAGGAUGAACCGCCACAUUGGGACUGAGACACGGGCCAGACUUCUACGGGAGGCAGCAGUGUGGAAUCUUCCGCAAUGGACGGAAGUCUGACUAAGCAACGCCGCGUGAGUGAUGACGGCCUUCGGGUUGUAAAGCUCUGUUAUUCGGGACGAAAGGCCUUCUUGCGAACAGUUAGAAGGAUUGACGGUACCGGAAGAGAAAGCCACGGCUAACUACGUG
rnacentral:rRNA from 1 species